UACGAAGGGGGCUAGCGUUGUUCGGAAUUACUGGGCGUAAAGCGCGCGUAGGCGGACGUUUAAGUCAGGGGUGAAAUGCCGGGGCUCAACCUCGGAACUGCCUUUGAUACUGGACGUCUGGAGUUCGGGAGAGGUGAGUGGAAUUCCGAGUGUAGAGGUGAAAUUCGUAGAUAUUCGCAAGAACACCAGUGGCGAAGGCGGCUCACUGGCCCGAUACUGACGCUGAGGCACGAAAGCGUGGGGAGCAAACAGG
rnacentral:rRNA from 1 species